rnacentral:lncRNA from 1 species
AUCUGGCAGUGACUGGGUUAUCUGGGGUGAAUAGGUUAUGUGAGGGGUGCCCGGGUUAUUUGGGGUGAUUGUUUAUCUGGCAGUGACUGGGUUAUCUGGGGUGAAAGGUUAUGUGAGAGGUGACUGGGUUAUUUGGGAGGUGACUGGUUUAUCUGGCAGUGACUGGGUUAUCUGGGUUGAAUAGGUUAUGUGAGAGGUGACUGGGUUAUUUGGGAGGUGACUGGUUUAUCUGGCAGUGACUGGGUUAUCUGGGGUGAAUAGGUUAUGUGAGAGGUGACUGGGUUAUUUGGGAGGUGACUGGUUUAUCUGGCAGUGACUGAGUUAUCGGGUGAAUAGGUUAUGUGAGAGGUGACCGGGUUAUUUGGGAGGUGACUGGUUUAUCUGGCAGUGACUGGGUUAUCUGGGGUGAAUAGAUUAUGUGAGGGGUGCCCGGGUUAUUUGGGGUGAUUGGUUUAUCUGGCAGUGACUGGGUUAUCUGGGGUGAAUAGGUUAUGUGAGGGGUGCCCGGGUUAUUUGGGAGGUGACUGGUUUAUCUGGCAGUGACUGGGUUAUCUGGGGUGAAUAGAUUAUGUGAGGGGUGCCUGGGUUAUUUGGGGUGAUUGGUUUAUCUGGCAGUGACUGGGUUAUCUGGGG